AUUGUAUUUGUUGUUUUGUGGUGUCGCACCCUCGAUUCUCAUUUGUUGAGUCUAAAUCUGUUGGGAUCGAUACAAAUGAGUUCAAAUCAAGGCCAUUCAUUGUUGAUCUCAGUUAAUCAUAGUCGUUCAUAUCUGUUAGAGUGUUAAUUUUUCAGAAAAAUUUCACAACUCCCACAUCGAGGAUUCAGGGUUUCUCUCAGGUUUCGGGGUUCUAUAAAUAAAACCCUAUUUCAUUGAAAAAUAAGUUUUGAACAUAGCUUCAUACGCACAAAGCCUGGAUUUUGAGCAGUUGAACUCAAAAUUAGGCCUAUUAGUAAAAAACUUAGACUUUGCUUUUAAAAGUUAAGCUUCCCAGUUCUAAAGGUUGAUUUCUGUUUUCAUUGUGUUGCUGAGUUGAGGAGAGGAAGCCUUAGGAGCUUUCAAAUCCAUUCUUGAUAGUCGGCUGCACUAAAAAAAAGUGAUAAGUUCAGUAAAUCAACUCUAACCGGUGUGUUCUUUCUCCUCCUCCCUCCUCCACUGCAUGGCCACUUGGGCCGAGUUAGACCUCUCUUGUUGGGCUACGGCCCAACAGGUCAUUCUUUCAGCCAGAUUAAUGUGAAAAGGAAGCUAAUAUUGUACGGGAACGCGUUGAAAGCCCAGCCAUGGGUAAAAAUAGCUAACUAGGGGUUUGGUACACACUAUCCUAUCCCUUUUAUUUUUUAUUAUUAUGUCCUCUUAUUUUUCAAAUUGUUGUAUUGUAUUCAUGUACUUGUAAAAAACUCGUAGUAUAGUGGAAUCCUUUAUGGUUGAACUAGACAUCUUAGGCA